AGGCUUCCAUAGUCCAUGUAUUCAUACACCAGGCACCCAUACUCUGGGCAAGCUCCAAGCAACAGAACCAUGUUUGGAUGCCGCAUGCAGCUUAGCACUUCAAUCUGCAAAUUGUCACAAGCACGUGAUUUAGCAGAUUUACCUUGAGGCAUCAGACUCUAUGUUUGGUUGGGAGUGUUGCUUUGGAGGGAGAGUAGUAAAGGGUGCAGGAGCUUUGGCUGCCUUCACCUGGAUGGCCUUUGCCUUGUGGAUGACAUGUACUGUGCAAUAAUCAGGCGCCAUCUUCAUCAAGCACGUUGGGACAUCGGGAUUUCUAAACCUUCUGCACAGUACAAGGAUCAUGCCUGUUUUCAGUAUAGGCAUCAUGGGAGUGUAAAUGCGUGCAACCAUGGGAGAUGAAUGAGCAGGUAAUAUACCUGAUGAAUGUGUUCUUAGUUGAUGCGCCGACGACAAUGUCAGUGAUCGCAUUGGUAGUGGCAUAGUCAAUUAUUGCUUUGGAGAUGUCACUGCCAUCCAAGAUCAACUCCUUCAGAUGCAUCUGCCAUGUAAAGGUGGCGUAAACGUGAAUACUGCUUUUGCAGCCAUUCUAGAUAUUUUCAGAAUAGUGUAACCGAAGCAUUUGAUUCCAAAAUUCUCUUUCUAGCA